rnacentral:rRNA from 1 species
AUGGAAGCUGAAAACCUGGCAACCCCGCGGCCGCGACAUCCCUUGCGAAACAGCAAACGCCACACAGCACCACCACCUUCUUCUCGCUCGCCGCGCACCCACACACCCCAGCGCUACUCAACCAUGUCGGUCUCCACGGGAAAAUUCCCGGCGGUCCCGGCGGCCGGCGGAGAAGACGGCAGCGACGCGGCGGCCGGAGGGUCGCCGUGCGGCCGCCCAACAAGAUUCGCCGGCGCCGGCGAGGAGGCGACGGAGGAGGCACGCGCCAGGCGGGAGGCGAAGAAGGCGGAGCUGGAGAGGAAGAUCGCGAGCACCAAGGAGGAGCUCGCCGCCCUGGAGACGGCGCUCGCCGAGGCGGACGCCGCGGCCAGCCCCCAGCCCACCAAGCCGUAG